AUCGUCGAUCUGCUGGGGGCAGAUGAAAUGAAUGUGGCUGUCGAUGCCCCCGGCGGUCAGAAUACGGCCCUCACCGGCGAUCGCCUCCGUGCCGGGGCCUACGAUGAUGUUCACGCCCGGUUGAGUGUCCGGGUUUCCCGCCUUGCCGAUCCCGACGAUGCGGCCGUCCUUAAGGCCGACAUCGGCCUUGAUCACACCGGUCCAGUCGACGAUCAGGGCAUUGGUGAUGACCGUAUCGACGGCGCCGGCGGCGCGGGUGAUCUGGCUCUGCCCCAUGCCGUCGCGGAU
rnacentral:sRNA from 1 species